GACGAAGGGGGCUAGCGUUGUUCGGAAUUACUGGGCGUAAAGCGAGUGUAGGUGGUUGUCACAGUCAGGUGUGAAAGCCUUGAGCUCAACUCAAGAAAUGCACUUGAUACUAGGCGACUAGAGGACCGGAGAGGAUAGUGGAAUCCCAGUGUAGUGGUGAAAUACGUAGAGAUUGGGAAGAACACCAGUGGCGAAGGCGGCUAUCUGGACGGUUUCUGACACUAAGACUCGAAAGCGUGGGGAGCAAACAGG
rnacentral:rRNA from 1 species